CCCUUAGGUGUUCUGGGCCGCACGCGCGCUACACUGAUGCAUUCAACGAGUCUAAAACCUGGUCUGAUGGGGCUGGGUAAUCUUUUGAAUGUGCAUCGUGAUUGGGAUAGAUGAUUGCAAUUCUUCAUCUUCAACGAGGAAUGCCUAGUAAACGCAAGUCAUCAGCUUGCAUUGAUUACGUCCCUGCCCUUUGUACACACCGCCCGUCGCUCCUACCGAUUGAAUGUUCCGAUGAAUACCAUGGACUGAGAGUAUGAAUGGGUUCGCCUAUUUCUGCUUCUCGGGAAGUGGAGUAAAUCUUAACAUUUAGAGGAAGGAGAAGUCGUAACA
rnacentral:rRNA from 1 species